rnacentral:rRNA from 1 species
UACGGAGGGGGGCUAGCGUUGUUCGGGAAUUACUGGGCGUAAAGCGCACGUAGGCGGCUUUGUAAGUUAGAGGUGAAAGCCCAGGGCUCAACCCUGGAAUUGCCUUUAAGACUGCAUCGCUUGAACAUCGGAGAGGUAAGUGGGAAUUCCGAGUGUAGAGGUGAAAGUUCGUGAGAUAUUCGGAAGAACACCAGUGGCGAAGGCGACUUA